rnacentral:rRNA from 1 species
GGGAAGGCUCGUCCGCCCAGGGUUAGUCGGGACCUAAGCCGAGGCCGACAGGCGUAGGCGAUGGACAACAGGUUGAUAUUCCUGUACUCGUUGUUUUUGUUUGAGCAAUGGAGGGACGCAGGAGGCUAAGGAAUACAGACGAUUGGAAAGGUCUGUCUAAGCAGUAAGUCUGGAUAGGAGUCAAAUGCUUCUGUCUUUACGGACAAGCUGUGAUGGGGAGGGAAAUCAUAGUACCGAAGUUCCUGAUGUCACACUGCCGAGAAAAGCUU